rnacentral:rRNA from 1 species
UACGUAGGGGGCAAGCGUUGUCCGGAAUCAUUGGGCGUAAAGAGCGCGUAGGCGGUCCGGUAAGUCCGCUGUGAAAGUCGGGGGCUCAACCCUCGAAUGCCGGUGGAUACUGUCGGGCUAGAGUCCGGAAGGGGAGUGUGGAAUUCCUGGUGUAGCGGUGAAAUGCGCAGAUAUCAGGAAGAACACCAAUGGCGAAAGCAGCUCUCUGGGACGGUACUGACGCUGAGACGCGAAAGCGUGGGGAGCGAACAGG